rnacentral:rRNA from 1 species
UUGUGAUCGGCCGAGAUCAAAUCUCAUCCAACUUGAGAGUUUGAUCCUGGCUCAGAGCGAACGCUGGCGGCAGGCUUAACACAUGCAAGUCGAGCGGGCGUAGCAAUACGUCAGCGGCAGACGGGAGAGUAACACGUGGGAACGUCCCCUUCGGUUCGGAACAACACAGGGAAACUUGUGCUAAUACCGGAUACGUCCGUAAGGAGAAAGAUUUAUCGCCGAGGGAUCGGCCCGCGUCUGAUUAGCUAGUUGGCGGGGUAAUGGCCCACCAAGGCGACGAUCAGUAGCUGGUCUGAGAGGAUGAUCAGCCUCACUGGGACUGAGACACGGCCCAGACUCCUACGGGAGGCAGCAGUGGGGAAUAUUGGACAA